GCGCCGAUAGUUUAGAGGUAAAAUUGGUGCUUCCCAAGCACUCGUCCCGGGUUCGAUUCCCGGUCGGCGCA
rnacentral:tRNA from 2 species